CACCUGCGCCACGAGUGGGAACCACAUUUAUUUGGCCUAAAGCGUCCGUAGCAGGUUAUGUAAAUCUCUUGUGAAAUCAUCAGGCUUAACUUGAUGGUGUGCAGGGGACACUGCAUAACUUGGAACCGGGAGGAGCUGGAAGUAUGCAAGGGGGAGCGGUAAAAUGCUAUAAUCCCUUGUAGACUACCUGUGGCGAAGGCGUCCAGCUAGAACGGAUUUGACUGUGAGGGACGAAAGCCAGGGGAGCGAACCGGAUUAGAUACCCGAGUAGUCCUGGCUGUAAACUCUGCGAGCUAGGUGUCGCGUAUCCGUUAGGAUACGCGGUGUCGAAGAGAAGUCGUUUAGCUCGCCGCCUGGGAAGUAUGGUCGCAAGACUGAAACUUAAAGGAAUUGGCGGGGGAGCACCACAAGGGGUGCGGCGUGCGGUUCAAUUCAAUUCAACGCGGAAAAUCUCACCAGAGGCGACGGCAGGAUGAAAGUCAGGCUAAAGGCUUUACUUGACGAGCCGAGAGGUAGUGCAUGGCCGCCGUCAGCUCGUGCCGUAACAGCAAUCGCGCAAGUGAUUGCUGCGGUUUAGGUGUCUUGUUAAGUCAAGCAACGAGCGAGACCUACAUCUACAAUUGCUAACUGGUUCUUUCGAAUGACAGAGCACAUUGUAGGGACUGCCUUGGAAACAAGGAGGAAGGUGUAGGCUACGGUAGGUCCGUAUGCUCCGAAUCUUCUGGGCUACACGCGCGCAACAAUGGUUGAGACAAUGGGUCACAACUCCGAAAGGAGAAGUUAAUCCUCUAAACUCAACCCUAGUUUAGAUUGAGGGUUGCAACCCACCCUCAUGACAAUGGAAUCCCUAGUAAUCGGUCCUCAUUACAGACCAGUGAAUAUGUCCCUGCUCCU
rnacentral:rRNA from 1 species